AUCGGAUUUCUACUCCUAAGAUCUUCUUGGUCAACAUGUGUAGUUUGGGUUUACACGUUAUUAUUGUUCUAGCUCAAAUUCUUGGAUUAUGCAUGCUUUUGACAUAUAUACUGAAUUUGGAGCAUAGUAUUAACUGUUAAUAAUUAUACAUGUUGGACUUGAAUUUGACUUAGGAGAAAAUCUGCGAUUUGAACCUGUCAUAUGCUUAAACUAUCUGAUUUAGCUCUAGGAGCCUUUGUAACUUUGUAUCGUCGCAGUAUCGAUGUGACGGAUACCCCAGGUAGUUUAGAUUUCAGUUACGCUCGUGCUGGGAUGCCGGGUGUAUUUUUACUGUAUCGUUCAGACUGUUCCGGACUGUUGGGUGCC
rnacentral:lncRNA from 1 species